UAUCUGGUUGAUCCUGCCAGUAGUCAUAUGCUUGUCUCAAAGAUUAAGCCAUGCAUGUCUAAGUAUAAGCAAUUUUGUACUGUGAAACUGGGAAUGGCUCAUUAAAUCAGUUAUCGUUUAUUUGAUAGAUAGUACCU
rnacentral:rRNA from 1 species